CAGAUCUGAUGAUCUAAAAAGCAAAGGCAACGGCAACCACACCGGCAACGGCUAUCCAGCUGGCGCCGGCCAAGGCAGCUGCGUUGGGAGUUGAAGAGGGGGAGUCAGCUGGAGCACCGGCGAUGGAGGGAGAUGUAGCGCCUGGGGAGGUGGCUGGAGCGCUGGGAGCCGGUGGGGAGGUGGCUGGAGCAGAUGCAGGGACGGCAGUGGGCGGAGAGACGGGAGCCACA
rnacentral:misc_RNA from 1 species